rnacentral:rRNA from 1 species
UAGGGAAUAUUGCACAAUGGAGGAAACUCUGAUGCAGCGACGCCGCGUGAGCGAUGAAGGCUUUCGGGUUGUAAAGCUCUGUGAUAGGGGAAGAUGAUGACGGUACCCUAUCAGAAAGGACCGGCUAACUUCGUGCCAGCAGCCGCGGUAAUACGAGGGGUCCAAGCGUUGUUCGGAAUUACUGGGCGUAAAGCGGGUGUAGGCGGCCAUGACAGUCGGAUGUGAAAGCCCUGGGCUCAACCCAGGAAGUGCAUCCGAUACUACAUGGCUUGAGUACUGGAGAGGGAUGCGGAAUUCCUGGUGUAGCGGUGAAAUGCGUAGAUAUCAGGAGGAACAUCGGUGGCGAAGGC